rnacentral:tRNA from 2 species
GCCGGGGUGGCGGAACUGGCAGACGCAGCGGACUCAAAAUCCGCCGCCGCAAGGCUUAGGGGUUCGAGUCCCCUCCCCGGUA